GAUAAACGCUAGCGGCAGGCUUAACACAUGCAAGUCGAGGGGCAGCAUAGAUUGUAGCAAUACAAUUGGUGGCGACCGGCGCACGGGUGCGUAACGCGUAUGCAACCUACCCGUCACAGGGGGAUAAUCCGGAGAAAUCUGGUCUAAUACCCCCUAACAUAUGGAUCGGCAUCGGUUCAUGUUGAAAUUUUCGGAGGUGACGGAUGGGCAUGCGUAGCAUUAGCUUGUUGGUGAGGUAACGGCUCACCAAGGCGACGAUGCUUAGGGGGACUGAGAGGUUUUCCCCCCACACUGGUACUGAGACACGGACCAGACUCCUACGGGAGGCAGCAGUGAGGAAUAUUGGUCAAUGGGCGCAAGCCUGAACCAGCCAUGCCGCGUGCAGGAUGUCGGCUCUAUGAGUUGUAAACUGCUUUUGUACGAGGGUAAAGUGGGUUACGUGUAACCUUUUGAAAGUAUCGUACGAAUAAGGAUCGGCUAACUCCGUGCCAGCAGCCGCCGUAA
rnacentral:rRNA from 1 species